CAUUACGGUGAGCUGGGCAGGGCAGCCUCCGGGCUGGCCGGUGCCUGCAAAUCGGUAGUCUCAACCUUGCUCAGUUCACCACCCUU
rnacentral:antisense_RNA from 3 species